rnacentral:rRNA from 1 species
AACCAGCUCUUCAAGUGGUCGGGCCAAUUAUUGGGCUUAAAGUGUCCGUAGCCGGUUUGGCAAGUUCCUGGUGAAAGCUGGUAGCUUAACUAUCAGUAGGCUAGGAAUACUACCUGACUUGAGGGUGGGAAAGGUCUGAGGUACUCCGGGGGUAGCGGUGAAAUGCGAUAAUCCUUGGGGGACUACCAGUGGCGAAGGCGUCAGACUGGAACACGCCUGACGGUGAGGGACGAAAGCCAGGGGAGCGAACGGG